UAUAAUAAUCAUAUGAUUUGAAGCUGCAGACAGAAACAUCAGACUCAGAACAGAAACACACGACCUCGAAAAAAUGGAGCAAACUCUAUAUUUCAUUCUUCUUCUCGUUGCUCUCUGCUCCGUAUCUGAAUGUUUUCAUCUGGAUGUGUUCAACAUGGCCGACAUGAACGUAUCUGGAUUGGGUUGCAUAA